UACAGAGGUCUCAAGCGUUGUUCGGAUUCAUUGGGCGUAAAGGGUGCGUAGGCGGCGCGGUAAGUCGGGUGUGAAAUCUCGGAGCUUAACUCCGAAACUGCAUUCGAUACUGCCGUGCUUGAGGACUGGAGAGGAGACUGGAAAUUUACGGUGUAGCGGUGAAAUGCGUAGAUAUCGUAAGGAAGACCAGUGGCGAAGGCGGGUCUCUGGACAGUUCCUGACG
rnacentral:rRNA from 1 species